rnacentral:rRNA from 1 species
GGGUUGUGAGGUUAAGCGACUAAGCGUACACGGUGGAUGCCCUGGCAGUCAGAGGCGAUGAAGGACGUGCUAAUCUGCGAAAAGCGUCGGUAAGGUGAUAUGAACCGUUAUAACCGGCGAUGUCCGAAUGGGGAAACCCAGUGCAAUUCGUUGCACUAUCGUUAACUGAAUACAUAGGUUAACGAGGCGAACCGGGGGAACUGAAACAUCUAAGUACCCCGAGGAAAAGAAAUCAACCGAGAUUCCCCCAGUAGCGGCGAGCGAACGGGGAGCAGCCCAGAGUCUGAAUCAGCUUGUGUGUUAGUGGAACGGUCUGGAAAGUCCGACGGUACAGGGUGAUAGUCCCGUACACCAAAAUGCACAGGCUGUGAACUCGAAGAGUAGGGCGGGACACGUGGUAUCCUGUCUGAAUAUGGGGGGACCAUCCUCCAAGGCUAAAUACUCCUGACUGACCGAUAGUGAACCAGUACCGUGAGGGAAAGGCGAAAAGAACCCCGGCGAGGGGAGUGAAAAAGAACCUGAAACCGUGUACGUACAAGCAGUGGGAGCACCUUCGGGUGUGACUGCGUACCUUUUGUAUAAUGGGUCAGCGACUUAUAUUCUGUAGCAAGGUUAACCGUAUAGGGGAGCCGCAGGGAAACCGAGUCUUAACUGGGCGUUAAGUUGCAGGGUAUAGACCCGAAACCCGGUGAUCUAGCCAUGGGCAGGUUGAAGGUUGGGUAACACUAACUGGAGGACCGAACCGACUAAUGUUGAAAAAUUAGCGGAUGACUUGUGGCUGGGGGUGAAAGGCCAAUCAAACCGGGAGAUAGCUGGUUCUCCCCGAAAGCUAUUUAGGUAGCGCCUCGUGAAUUCAUCUUCGGGGGUAGAGCACUGUUUCGGCUAGGGGGUCAUCCCGACUUACCAACCCGAUGCAAACUACGAAUACCGAAGAAUGUUAUCACGGGAGACACACGGCGGGUGCUAACGUCCGUCGUGAAGAGGGAAACAACCCAGACCGCCAGCUAAGGUCCCAAAGUCAUGGUUAAGUGGGAAACGAUGUGGGAAGGCACAGACAGCCAGGAUGUUGGCUUAGAAGCAGCCAUCAUUUAAAGAAAGCGUAAUAGCUCACUGGUCGAGUCGGCCUGCGCGGAAGAUGUAACGGGGCUAAACCAUGCACCGAAGCUGCGGCAGCGACACUAUGUGUUGUUGGGUAGGGGAGCGUUCUGUAAGCCUGCGAAGGUGUGCUGUGAGGCAUGCUGGAGGUAUCAGAAGUGCGAAUGCUGACAUAAGUAACGAUAAAGCGGGUGAAAAGCCCGCUCGCCGGAAGACCAAGGGUUCCUGUCCAACGUUAAUCGGGGCAGGGUGAGUCGACCCCUAAGGCGAGGCCGAAAGGCGUAGUCGAUGGGAAACAGGUUAAUAUUCCUGUACUUGGUGUUACUGCGAAGGGGGGACGGAGAAGGCUAUGUUAGCCGGGCGACGGUUGUCCCGGUUUAAGCAUGUAGGCUGGUUAUCCAGGCAAAUCCGGAUAAUCAAGGCUGAGGUGUGAUGACGAGGCACUACGGUGCUGAAGUAACAAAUGCCCUGCUUCCAGGAAAAGCCUCUAAGCAUCAGGUAACAUCAAAUCGUACCCCAAACCGACACAGGUGGUCAGGUAGAGAAUACCAAGGCGCUUGAGAGAACUCGGGUGAAGGAACUAGGCAAAAUGGUGCCGUAACUUCGGGAGAAGGCACGCUGGUGUGUAGGUGAAGCCCCUGCGGGUGGAGCUGAGACCAGUCGAAGAUACCAGCUGGCUGCAACUGUUUAUUAAAAACACAGCACUGUGCAAACACGAAAGUGGACGUAUACGGUGUGACGCCUGCCCGGUGCCGGAAGGUUAAUUGAUGGGGUUAUCCGUAAGGAGAAGCUCUUGAUCGAAGCCCCGGUAAACGGCGGCCGUAACUAUAACGGUCCUAAGGUAGCGAAAUUCCUUGUCGGGUAAGUUCCGACCUGCACGAAUGGCGUAAUGAUGGCCAGGCUGUCUCCACCCGAGACUCAGUGAAAUUGAACUCGCUGUGAAGAUGCAGUGUACCCGCGGCAAGACGGAAAGACCCCGUGAACCUUUACUAUAGCUUGACACUGAACAUUGAGCCUUGAUGUGUAGGAUAGGUGGGAGGCUUUGAAGCGUGGACGCCAGUCUGCGUGGAGCCAACCUUGAAAUACCACCCUUUAAUGUUUGAUGUUCUAACGUUGGCCCCUUAUCGGGGUUGCGGACAGUGUCUGGUGGGUAGUUUGACUGGGGCGGUCUCCUCCCAAAGCGUAACGGAGGAGCACGAAGGUUAGCUAAUCCUGGUCGGACAUCAGGAGGUUAGUGCAAUGGCAUAAGCUAGCUUGACUGCGAGCGUGACGGCGCGAGCAGGUGCGAAAGCAGGUCAUAGUGAUCCGGUGGUUCUGAAUGGAAGGGCCAUCGCUCAACGGAUAAAAGGUACUCCGGGGAUAACAGGCUGAUACCGCCCAAGAGUUCAUAUCGACGGCGGUGUUUGGCACCUCGAUGUCGGCUCAUCACAUCCUGGGGCUGAAGUAGGUCCCAAGGGUAUGGCUGUUCGCCAUUUAAAGUGGUACGCGAGCUGGGUUUAGAACGUCGUGAGACAGUUCGGUCCCUAUCUGCCGUGGGCGCUGGAGAAUUGAGGGGGGCUGCUCCUAGUACGAGAGGACCGGAGUGGACGCAUCACUGGUGUUCGGGUUGUCAUGCCAAUGGCACUGCCCGGUAGCUAAAUGCGGAAGAGAUAAGUGCUGAAAGCAUCUAAGCACGAAACUUGCCCCGAGAUGAGUUCUCCCUGAGACUUUAAGUCUCCUGAAGGAACGUU